GCUCCGUGUUGAUGAGCCUCAGACGGCUGA
rnacentral:sRNA from 1 species